GUAGGGGGCAAGCGUUGUCCGGAAUUAUUGGGCGUAAAGCGCGCGCAGGCGGUCUCUUAAGUCUGAUGUGAAAGCCCACGGCUCAACCGUGGAGGGUCAUUGGAAACUGGGAGACUUGAGUGUAGGAGAGGAAAGUGGAAUUCCACGUGUAGCGGUGAAAUGCGUAGAUAUGUGGAGGGACACCAGUGGCGAAGGCGACUUUCUGGCCUACAACUGACGCUGAGGCGCGAAAGCGUGGGGAGCAAACAGGGAUUAGAUACCCUGGUAGUCCACGCUGCAAACGAUGAGUGCUAGGUGUUAGGGGUUUCGAUGCCCUUAGUGCCGAAGUUAACACAUUAAGCACUCCGCCUGGGAGUACGGCCGCAAGGCUG
rnacentral:rRNA from 1 species